CGGCGUGCUUAACACAUGCAAGUCGAACGGAAAGGCCCUGCUUUUGUGGGGUGCUCGAGUGGCGAACGGGUGAGUAACACGUGAGUAACCUGCCCUUGACUUUGGGAUAACUUCAGGAAACUGGGGCUAAUACCGGAUAGGAGCUCCUGCUGCAUGGUGGGGGUUGGAAAGUUUCGGCGGUUGGGGAUGGACUCGCGGCUUAUCAGCUUGUUGGUGGGGUAGUGGCUUACCAAGGCUUUGACGGGUAGCCGGCCUGAGAGGGUGACCGGCCACAUUGGGACUGAGAUACGGCCCAGACUCCUACGGGAGGCAGCAGUGGGGAAUAUUGCACAAUGGGCGGAAGCCUGAUGCAGCAACGCCGCGUGCGGGAUGACGGCCUUCGGGUUGUAAACCGCUUUCGCCUGUGACGAAGCGUGAGUGACGGUAAUGGGUAAAGAAGCACCGGCUAACUACGUGCCAGCAGCCGCGGUGAUACGUAGGGUGCGAGCGUUGUCCGGAUUUAUUGGGCGUAAAGGGCUCGUAGGUGGUUGAUCGCGUCGGAAGUGUAAUCUUGGGGCUUAACCCUGAGCGUGCUUUCGAUACGGGUUGACUUGAGGAAGGUAGGGGAGAAUGGAAUUCCUGGUGGAGCGGUGGAAUGCGCAGAUAUCAGGAGGAACACCAGUGGCGAAGGCGGUUCUCUGGGCCUUUCCUGACGCUGAGGAGCGAAAGCGUGGGGAGCGAACAGGCUUAGAUACCCUGGUAGUCCACGCUGUAAACGGUGGGUACUAGGUGUGGGGUCCAUUCCACGGGUUCCGUGCCGUAGCUAACGCUUUAAGUACCCCGCCUGGGGAGUACGGCCGCAAGGCUAAAACUCAAAGGAAUUGACGGGGCCCCGCACAAGCGGCGGAGCAUGCGGAUUAAUUCGAUGCAACGCGUAGAACCUUACCUGGGUUUGACAUGGAUCGGGAGUGCUCAGAGAUGGGUGUGCCUCUUUUGGGGUCGGUUCACAGGUGGUGCAUGGCUGUCGUCAGCUCGUGUCGUGAGAUGUUGGGUUAAGUCCCGCAACGAGCGCAACCCUUGUUCACUGUUGCCAGCACGUUAUGGUGGGGACUCAGUGGAGACCGCCGGGGUCAACUCGGAGGAAGGUGGGGAUGACGUCAAGUCAUCAUGCCCCUUAUGUCCAGGGCUUCACGCAUGCUACAAUGGCUGGUACAGAGAGUGGCGAGCCUGUGAGGGUGAGCGAAUCUCGGAAAGCCGGUCUCAGUUCGGAUUGGGGUCUGCAACUCGACCUCAUGAAGUCGGAGUCGCUAGUAAUCGCAGAUCAGCAACGCUGCGGUGAAUACGUUCCCGGGGCUUGUACACACCGCCCGUCAAGUCAUGAAAGUUGGUAACACCCGAAGCCGGUGGCCUAACCGUUGUGGGGGAGCCGUCGAAGGUGGGACUGGUGAUUAGGACUAAGUC
rnacentral:rRNA from 1 species